rnacentral:rRNA from 1 species
GACGAACGCUGGCGGCGUGCUUAACACAUGCAAGUCGAACGGUGAAGCGCCUUCCUUUUUGGUGGGUGUGGAUGAGUGGCGAACGGGUGAGUAACACGUGAGUAACCUGCCCCCUUCUUCUGGAUAACCGCAUGAAAGUGUGGCUAAUACGGGAUAUUCUGGGUCUGUCGCAUGAUGGGUCUGGGAAAGAUAUUGUUUCGGUGGGGGAUGGGCUCGCGGCCUAUCAGCUUGUUGGUGGGGUGAUGGCCUACCAAGGCGGUGAGGGGUAGCCGGCCUGAGAGGGUGGACGGUCACACUGGGACUGAGACACGGCCCAGACUCCUACGCGAGGCAGCAGUGGGGAAUAGUGAGCAAUGGGCGAAAGCGUGAUGCAGCGACGCCGCGUGAGGGAUGGAGGCCGUCGGGUUGUGAACCUCUUUCGCCAGUGAAGCAGGCCUGCCUGGUUUGUGGGUGGGUUGACGGUAGCUGGAUAAGAAGCGCCGGCUAACUACGUG